AGCUGGGAUAGCUCAAAUGGUAGACCAUGAGACUUUUAAUCUCAGGGUCGUGGGUUUGAGCCCCACCUCGGGUG